rnacentral:rRNA from 1 species
AUUGAACGCUGGCGGCAUGCUUUACACAUGCAAGUCGAACGGUAACAGGCCUUCGGGUGCUGACGAGUGGCGAACGGGUGAGUAAUGCAUCGGAACGUGCCCAAUCGUGGGGGAUAACGUAGCGAAAGUUACGCUAAUACCGCAUAAGCCCUGAGGGGGAAAUGGGGGACCGCAAGGCCUCACGCGAAUGGAGCGGCCGAUGUCAGAUUAGCUAGUUGGUGGGGUAAAAGGCCCGACCAAGGCGACGAUCUGUAGCGGGUCUGAGAGGAUGAUCCGCCACACUGGGACUGAGACACGGCCCAGACUCCUACGGGAGGCAGCAGUGGGGAAUUUUGGGACAAUGGGCGCAAGCCUGAUCCAGCCAUGCCGCGUGC